AUUGAACGCUGGCGGAAUGCUUUACACAUGCAAGUCGAACGGCAGCGCGGACUUCGGUCUGGUGGCGAGUGGCGAACGGGUGAGUAAUGUAUCGGAACGUGCCCAGUCGUGGGGGAUAACGUAGUGAAAAUUACGCUAAUACCGCAUACGAUCUAUGGAUGAAAGCGGGGGAUCGCAAGACCUCGCGCGAUUGGAGCGGCCGAUAUCAGAUUAGGUAGUUGGUGGGGUAAAGGCCCACCAAGCCGACGAUCUGUAGCUGGUCUGAGAGGACGACCAGCCACACUGGGACUGAGACACGGUCCAGACUCCUACGGGAGGCAGCAGUGGGGAAUUUUGGACAAUGGGCGAAAGCCUGAUCCAGCCAUUCCGCGUGCAGGAUGAAGGCCCUCGGGUUGUAAACUGCUUUUGUACAGAACGAAAAGGUUUCUACUAAUACUAGGAGCUCAUGACGGUACUGUAAGAAUAAGCACCGGCUAACUACGUGCCAGCCGCCGCGGUAA
rnacentral:rRNA from 1 species